rnacentral:rRNA from 1 species
AUUGAACGCUGGCGGCAGGCCUAACACAUGCAAGUCGAACGGUAACAGGAAGCAGCUUGCUGCUUCGCUGACGAGUGGCGGACGGGUGAGUAAUGUCUGGGAAACUGCCUGAUGGAGGGGGAUAACUACUGGAAACGGUAGCUAAUACCGCAUAACGUCGCAAGACCAAAGAGGGGGACCUUCGGGCCUCUUGCCAUCGGAUGUGCCCAGAUGGGAUUAGCUAGUAGGUGGGGUAACGGCUCACCUAGGCGACGAUCCCUAGCUGGUCUGAGAGGAUGACCAGCCACACUGGAACUGAGACACGGUCCAGACUCCUACGGGAGGCAGCAGUGGGGAAUAUUGCACAAUGGGCGCAAGCCUGAU